UAGGGAAUCUUCGGCAAUGGACGAAAGUCUGACCGAGCAACGCCGCGUGAGCGAAGAAGGUUUUCGGAUCGUAAAACUCUGUUGGUAGAGAAGAACGUUGGUGAGAGUGGAAAGCUCAUCAAGUGACGGUAACUACCCAGAAAGGGACGGCUAACUACGUGCCAC
rnacentral:rRNA from 1 species